rnacentral:lncRNA from 1 species
GAAUAUCAGUGACCUGCCAUGGGAGGAAGGCCAGAGAUGCUUGCUGCGCAGCAGUGGUUCAGAAGUGUUUUAAUGAACUAAGAAGAGAUUUUCCAGAUGGCUGUGUUUGAUGCUGCCAACUAUCCCAGAUGGAGAGGGUUUCCUCACCUGCACCCAAUCUGUAUGUACCUCUCUCCAGUUGUUUCCUGUCAAGCUUGGACUCCUGAAUGAGA